UCCCUGGUGGCUCAGACGGUAAAGCAUCUGCCUGCAAUGUGGGAGACCUGGGUUCGAUCCCCGGGUUGGGAA
rnacentral:tRNA from 1 species